rnacentral:rRNA from 1 species
GAAAUCUGGGUCUUUUAGGCUCCGAGUUGUAAUNUGUAGAAGAUGCUUCGGGUGCGGCUCCGGUCUAAGUUCCUUGGAACAGGACGUCAUAGAGGGUGAGAAUCCCGUAUGUGAUCGGGGGCUUGCGCCCAUGUGAAGCUCUUUCGACGAGUCGAGUUGUUUGGGAAUGCAGCUCAAAAUGGGUGGUAUAUUUCAUCUAAAGCUAAAUAUUGGCCAGAGACCGAUAGCGCACAAGUAGAGUGAUCGAAAGAUGAAAAGCACUUUGGAAAGAGAGUUAAACAGUACGUGAAAUUGUUGAAAGGGAAGCGCUUGCAACCAGACUUGGGCGGGGUUGAUCAUCUAGGGUUCUCCCUAGUGCACUCGACCUCGCACAGGCCAGCAUCGGUUCCGGUGGUUGGAUAAAGGCCUUGGGAAUGUAGCUUCUUUCGGGGAGUGUUAUAGCCCUCGGUGCAAUGCAGCCUACUGGGACCGAGGACCGCGCUUCGGCUAGGAUGCUGGCGUAAUGGUUGUAAGCGACCCGUCUUGAAACACGGACCAAGGAGUCUAACAUCUAUGCGAGUGUUUGGGUGUCAAACCCAUACGCGUAAUGAAAGUGAACGGAGGUGAGAACCCUUAAGGGUGCAUCAUCGACCGAUCCUGAUGUCUUCGGAUGGAUUUGAGUAAGAGCAUAGCUGUUGGGACCCGAAAGAUGGUGAACUAUGCCUGAAUAGGGUGAAGCCAGAGGAAACUCUGGUGGAGGCUCGCAGCGGUUCUGACGUGCAAAUCGAUCGUCAAAUUUGGGUAUAGGGGCGAAAGACUAAUCGAACCAUCUAGUAGCUGGUUCCUGCCGAAGUUUCCCUCAGGAUAGCAGUGUUGAAUUCAGUUUUAUGAGGUAAAGCGAAUGAUUA